UGUCAUACGAUACGCAUGCGCUACGCGACGGAUCGUUGCGCUCGUUGAGCCAAAAUUACAUACACGCGAUUUUUAAGUUUGGUAUAGGUUGUUGGGACGAGUUUGUGAAUGUGCCGAACUCUGCUGGAACUUUGUAUUCAAAUUUUAUAAAUCACAUCGAAUAAUUAAGGAAGGAGGUACUUAAAUUAUGGUGAAUGUAAUGAAAGGUAUUUUAAUAGAAUGCUAUGCUACACUUUUAAUCAGAUUGACCCAUAUGGGUUGCUGCUUGUGAAAUUUUCAGUGAUCAGGCCAUGAAACAGUUCCUUUUGCAUCUGGAUGAAACAUUGGCUUUGGGAAAGAAAUUCAUUCUUCAAGAUUUAGA